CGCCCCCACCGUGCCCGCGAGGCUCGUGACGUGACGCAGCCGCGACGGACGCCUCGCGCCGCCGAUCGAGUUAAUGGACGCCGAGGCUGGCGUCGCCGGCAUCGACCAGCUGCCGCGGAGGCAGUACUACAUGAAUCUAUUGCUUUUGGCUUACCAGAGCUUUGGUGUUGUUUACGGUGACCUAAGCACAUCACAUCUUUAUGUUUAUAAAAGCACAUUCUUUGGAAAGCUUAAUCAGUACCAAGAUGAGGAGAAAGUGUUCGGUGUGCUUUCCCUCAUCUUCUGGACCUUCACUCUGAUUCCUUUGCUGAAGUAUGUCACUAUUGUGCUGAGUGCUGAUGAUAACGGGGAAGGUGCCUAUAAAUCCCUUUCUUAACAUCCCCUGUCUUUUCAUGUGCCUGGAUGGAGUGGGAUUAGUUUGUUGUAAUCCAGCAUGUAUAUCGGCUAGCAACGAUAUACAAGAAAAAUUAAGGCUAUAUUGUUUAUCGUCCUAAUAAAUAUUAUAUUAAAUGAAUAAUAUCCCUUAAUGUAUCUUCUGAAAGAAGGCCUAUCUUGGCACUUGUAGCUUACAAAUGACUAAGGGAUGCCUACACUUUUGUAGGCAGACCAUUUGCUCUCUAUUCGCUUCUUUGCAGGCAUACAAAACUCAGCUUGCUGCCAAAUCAACAAGGAGCCGAUGAGGAACUAUCUUCAUACUACAGAAACGGGUUUGCACCUCGCAAUGGAUCUUCACCUUUGUUAAGAAGAUUUCUGGAGAAGCACAAAAAAUGAGAGUUGUGCUUCUUCUCAUAGUUCUUUGUGGCGCUAGCAUGGUGAUUGGUGAUGGUGUCCUCACCCCAGCAAUCUCAGUCCUCUCAUCUAUGUCUGGAUUACAAGUUCGAGCUAUUGGUUUAAAUCAUAGUAAGUACAAAUCAUCUCUGUGAACUCAUAACUCUUGAUGCAAAAAUAUUGAAAACACACCUGGUUUUUGUGGGAGUACCAGCAGUUGCAAUUUAUGUCAAUUUGUAAAUUUGUUUAAUAAAUAGUAGAAGAAAUUUCAAAGAGCUAUAUUUGGGUUCUCAAAAUUAUCACAGAACUAUGCAUUUUAGAAUUAUGAUCAUAGAACUAUAUAAAUUUGUUUUAGAAUUAAGGGCAUGUACAACAAUGUGACUAAUAUCGACUUUACAUCGACUCAAUAUUGGUGUAAACACAUGCCAUACAAGAGGUUCGCGGAAGCGAUUAUCAUGACCUGAAAGAAAUAUAAGGUUGCUUACAACAAGAAACGUUCUGGAUGGGCGGAGGAUAUUUUUAAGUGGGAACAUACAAUUCGGACUGAUGUUCCAAUUGACUUAAGAGGGUUUAAUACCAGCUACCUCGUUCUACAAGCUAUGACCAUGUGGGGGAAUGACAGACGAAUGAAAUUUGUUAGGGAUGCAAAGAUUCUUCGAAGUAAUUUUGUGAUUGAUCUGUUAAGUUAUGAGGACAAUUCGUGCCGAUAUGUCAUCCCUGCAAACAUACAACAGAGACUUAUCGAUAUCGCUAAAAAGGAUUAGCUGAUUAGUGUACGGUUGUCGACACAUUUGUCUGUAAUUAAAAAUUCUAAAUUAACUUUUUAGAAAUAAUUUGUGUGAUAUUUAUAA